UUAACACAUGCAAGUCGAACGGGAAAACCUUUUAUUGAAGCUUCGGCAGAUUUAGCUGGUUUCUAGUGGCGGACGGGUGAGUAACGCGUGGGUAACCUGCCUUAUACAGGGGGAUAACAACCAGAAAUGGUUGCUAAUACCGCAUAAGCGCACAGGACCGCAUGGUCCGGUGUGAAAAACUCCGGUGGUAUAAGAUGGACCCGCGUUGGAUUAGCUAGUUGGCAGGGUAACGGCCUACCAAGGCGACGAUCCAUAGCCGGCCUGAGAGGGUGAACGGCCACAUUGGGACUGAGACACGGCCCAGACUCCUACGGGAGGCAGCAGUGGGGAAUAUUGCACAAUGGGGGAAACCCUGAUGCAGCGACGCCGCGUGAAGGAAGAAGUAUCUCGGUAUGUAAACUUCUAUCAGCAGGGAAGAUAGUGACGGUACCUGACUAAGAAGCCCCGGCUAACUACGUGCCAGCAGCCGCGGUAAUACGUAGGGGGCAAGCGUUAUCCGGAUUUACUGGGUGUAAAGGGAGCGUAGACGGACUGGCAAGUCUGAUGUGAAAGGCGG
rnacentral:rRNA from 1 species